rnacentral:rRNA from 1 species
AGGGAGGAAAAGGAACCAACAGGGAUUGCCUCAGUAACGGCGAGUGAAGCGGCAAAAGCUCAAAUUUGAAAUCUAGCACCUUCGGUGUUCGAGUUGUAAUUUGAAGAUGGUAACCUUGGGUUUGGCUCUUGUCUAUGUUCCUUGGAACAGGACGUCAUAGAGGGUGAGAAUCCCGUCUGAUGAGAUGCCCAUUCCUAUGUAAGGUGCUAUCGAAGAGUCGAGUUGUUUGGGAAUGCAGCUCUAAGUGGGUGGUAAAUUCCAUCUAAAGCUAAAUAUUGGCGAGAGACCGAUAGCGAACAAGUACAGUGAUGGAAAGAUGAAAAGAACUUUGAAAAGAGAGUGAAAAAGUACGUGAAAUUGUUGAAAGGGAAGGGCAUUAGAUCAGACUUGGUGUUUUACGAUUAUCUUCUCUUCUUGAGUUGUGCACUCGUAUUUCACUGGGCCAGCAUCGAUUCGGAUGGCAAGAUAAUGGCAGUUGAAUGUGGCUUCACUUCGGUGGAGUGUUAUAGCUUCUGCUGAUAUUGCCUGUCUGGAUCGAGGGCUGCGUCUUUGACUACUGCAAUGCGAG